GACGAACGCUGGCGGCGUGCCUAACACAUGCAAGUCAACUUGAGGGAAGGAGCAAUCUGACCUGAUGGUGGCGCAAGGGUGCGUAACGCGUAAGUAACUUGCCCCAAGGUAAGGAAUAACGUCGAGAAAUCGGCGCUAAUACCUCAUAAUGCAGCGGAUCCGCAUGGAUAUGUUGUUAAAGGUUUACCGCCUUGGGGAUAGGCUUGCGUCUGAUUAGCUAGUUGUGUGGUAAUGGCACACCAAGGCUACGAUCAGUAACUGGUCUGAGAGGAUGAUCAGUCACACUGGAACUGAGACACGGUCCAGACUCCUACGGGAGGCAGCAGUGAGGAAUA
rnacentral:rRNA from 1 species